rnacentral:lncRNA from 1 species
GUCCCAAAUAGGUCCACUUAUACCUCACCGGUGUACCGGAUGAGUCCAUUUAAUCCCUACCGGCGUCCCAGAUAGGUCCACUUAUACCUCACCGGCGAACCGGAUGAGUCCACUUGCAUACUUAAAUUAUUUCAAAAUCUCUUUAAACAUUCGAAAGCAGCAAUAUCAUGUACUCAACAUAUCACUGAAAUCAUUAAUAUGAAUUUCACUUAAACCAUUAAUAACAGUCACUCUCUAUAACAUUUAAAAAUAACCAAUCAAAUAUUUUGGGCCCAAAUUUAGAAAUGUAGCAGUUUGUAAAGGCAUUCUAGCAUAAUUGCCAAUUUAAUAUGUAUAGAAAAACUCUUAUAAAAAUUCAAGAAUACGGAAUUAUCACAAUUUAUGGGAUAUCAAUCCACAAAUAAACAUUUCAC